GAAAAUAUUCCCCUAUCAACACUGUUUUAUUUUAUGUUUCAGUUGAAGAUUUACUUUUACUUGUACACAUUUGAUAUUAUAAAUUUAUUAAGUAUAUAAAUAUUUGACAUAUGUGGAAUUUAUUCAUGGUACAUAUCUAUGCCUAACUCUUUAAUCUUGAGCAACCUAAUUUCACUUUUUGUGAGAAGGUACAAAGGCAUUACAAUCUAUAUUUUGCAUUAGUUUUGAAGUCUUUCGAGCAUAUGUGUCACUACUUUAUACUAAAGAGAGUUCGUUUCGUCUGUUUUUGUGCGAACAGUACAGAAAGCAACUCAUGUUUUUCAGAUAAAUAGUAAAGAAAGGUCAAUUUAUACGAUUUUAGGGAGACAGCACUUCAACCACACAAAUCAACUACUGAAACACUUCAAAUUUGAAAAAAAAGAGUAAAGUGUUUUAUUUUACACUUCCCUUUUCUCUCUCUCCCUCUUUUUAAUGUUUUUAUUGUUUCUUGUUAGCAUAAAAUAUUAUCAAGACAUGGAACAAGACUCGUACCUAUCAUAACAUCAAGCUAAUUAUUUAUAGAUGAGUAUAGUUCAUAUUAAGAUAAAGAAAAAUAUAAUGUGUGAAAACCCCAAACGCAAUCUUAGAGUGAAUUGUUUAUUGUUUUAUCGUAGGUAUGUGACUGGGAAUCUCAAUUACAAUUGAGAAUUAUUAUU
rnacentral:lncRNA from 1 species